UAAUAUUUGCUCUCUUUAAGUGAAGCAGUCUUUUGAGGUCCACCUUGGUUGUUGCUCUUUGUUUCUCUCAAGGUAGCUUUUUUGAAAGGUAAUCUUACUUCUUGUGGAUGGGUGAUUCAUCAUCUAAGUCAGAUCUCUGUCUAUUUAAGAUCAUUGCUGGUGAGAGGGCCAUCAAAGUUCCAGGCAAAGCCAAAUAUUUCAGAGUUAAUCGCAGAGAGAGAUUUUCUUAAGGAAUUAAAUAAAAGGCAUCAACAAGAACUGGAGAGAAAGGAUGAUAUUGAGAAAAAUAAAAAGCUUGAGCGCAAGAACUGAAUACCCUGAUUGUGAAGUGUGAGGCCAAAGACGAUUGUUGUUGUAUAUUGUAGAUAUCUUGAUGAAAUUAUCAUGGUCGGUUAUGAGGUAUAAGACAUGUAAUAAUAUUAUUUUAAAA